GACGAACGCUGGCGGCGUGCUUAACACAUGCAAGUCGAGCGAUGAAGUUCCUUCGGGAAUGGAUUAGCGGCGGACGGGUGAGUAACACGUGGGUAACCUGCCUCAUAGAGGGGAAUAGCCUUCCGAAAGGAAGAUUAAUACCGCAUAAGAUUGUAGUGCCGCAUGGUACAGCAAUUAAAGGAGUAAUCCGCUAUGAGAUGGACCCGCGUCGCAUUAGCUAGUUGGUGAGGUAACGGCUCACCAAGGCGACGAUGCGUAGCCGAACUGAGAGGGUGCUCGGCCACAUUGGGACUGAGACACAGCCCAGACUCCUACGGGAGGCAGCAGUGGGGAAUAUUGCACAAUGGGGGAAACCCUGAUGCAGCAACGCCGCGUGAGUGAUGACGGUCUUCGGAUUGUAAAGCUCUGUCUUCAGGGACGAUAAUGACGGUACCUGAGGAGGAAGCCACGGCUAACUACGUGCCAGCCGCCGCCGUAAGAC
rnacentral:rRNA from 1 species